CUGGAGGUAUCAGAAGUGCGAAUGCUGACAUAAGUAACGAUAAAGCGGGUGAAAAGCCCGCUCGCCGGAAGACCAAGGGUUCCUGUCCAACGUUAAUCGGGGCAGGGUGAGUCGACCCCUAAGGCGAGGCCGAAAGGCGUAGUCGAUGGGAAACAGGUUAAUAUUCCUGUACUUGGUGUUACUGCGAAGGGGGGACGGAGAAGGCUAUGUUGGCCGGGCGACGGUUGUCCCGGUUUAAGCGUGUAGGCUGGUUUUCCAGGCAAAUCCGGAAAAUCAAGGCUGAGGCGUGAUGACGAGGCACUACGGUGCUGAAGCAACAAAUGCCCUGCUUCCAGGAAAAGCCUCUAAGCAUCAGGUAACAUCAAAUCGUACCCCAAACCGACACAGGUGGUCAGGUAGAGAAUACCAAGGCGCUUGAGAGAACUCGGGUGAAGGAACUAGGCAAAAUGGUGCCGUAACUUCGGGAGAAGGCACGCUGAUAUGUAGGUGAAGUCCCUCGCGGAUGGAGCUGAAAUCAGUCGAAGAUACCAGCUGGCUGCAACUGUUUAUUAAAAACACAGCACUGUGCAAACACGAAAGUGGACGUAUACGGUGUGACGCCUGCCCGGUGCCGGAAGGUUAAUUGAUGGGGUUAGCGCAAGCGAAGCUCUUGAUCGAAGCCCCGGUA
rnacentral:rRNA from 1 species